GACGAACGCUGGCGGCGUGCCUAAUACAUGCAAGUCGAGCGAACAGAUCAGGAGUUUGCUCCUAUGACGUUAUCGGCGGACGGGUGCGUAACACGUGGUUAACCUACCUAUCCGACUGGGAUAACUUCGGGAAACCGGAGCUACUACCGGAUAAUAUUUCGACCCGCAUUGUUCGCUCGUGAGAGAAGGUAUUGCUUACACUUAUAGCUGGACCCGCGCCGUAUUCGUUAGUUGGUAAGGUAACGGCUUAGCAAGGCGACGAUUCUUAGCCGACCUGAAAGGGUGAUCGGCCACACUGGAACUGAGGCACGGUCCAGACUCCUACGGUAAGCAACAGUAGGGAAUCUUCCGCAAGGGGCGAAAGCCGGACGUAGCAACGCCGCGUGAGUGAUGAUGGUGUUCUGAUCGGAAAACGCUGUUAGUAUGGGAGAACAUACGUGUAAGUAACUGGGCAGAUCAUGACAGUACCGAAUCAGAAAGCCACGGCUAACUACGUG
rnacentral:rRNA from 1 species